GGUGAGUGGCUGUGUUUUUCCAUAAAGCUGGAGUUUCCACCCCUGGGUGGAGCUACCUCAUUCCAAUCAAGAUCUGCACCUGUUGGUAAUUUGGAGUGCCUGCAUGAAAGGAGACUUCCGGUUCAUUUUUUCACUCUCAACAAUACUCAUCACUUCUGGACACUGGUCUGCUCAGUAAUCAUGGUCACAGCCCAAGUUCUGUUGGAUAUCCAUUUAUCUACCUGCCUCCCUGCUGCUGCUCAAAGGAUUCACGGAAAAUACUCCGUCUGGAUCCUCGGCUUCUCACCCGGACCACUUCAACUGCCUUCACCUCACACCAAACUUUGCCACUGACCUCCCCUGCCUGAGCCACAAACCGCUCCCUGAGUCUCCCUAGCUCCUGUUAUGACGAUUCACAGCCCCAUUGGUUUUCACAGCUCAUAGUUCACGUUUCUGCUUCAUAGUUCAUGUUCCUUUUCUUAGUUCACUGCUCAUGUUCGGAUGUAUUGCUUGUGUUCUAAAUUAUCUAGUUCACAGCCAUUAUAUUCUGUCAAAGUCACUUGUAAAUAAAAGCUUUGUUA
ensembl:lncRNA